AGUGGGAUAGCUGGGUAAAGUGGUGGUUCCAUUCCAAGUUUUCUGAGGAAUCUCCAUACUACUUUCCAUAGUGGUUAUACCAAUUUGGAGUCCCAUCGGCAAU
rnacentral:pre_miRNA from 1 species